rnacentral:rRNA from 1 species
GACGAACGCUGGCGGCGUGCUUAACACAUGCAAGUCGAACGGUGAAGCGCCUUCCUUUUUGGUGGGUGUGGAUGAGUGGCGAACGGGUGAGUAACACGUGAGUAGCCUGCCCCCUUCUUCUGGAUAACCGCAUGAAAGUGUGGCUAAUACGGGAUAUUCUGGGUCUGUCGCAUGAUGGGUCUGGGAAAGAUAUUGUUUCGGUGGGGGAUGGGCUCGCGGCCUAUCAGCUUGUUGGUGGGGUGAUGGCCUACCAAGGCGGUGACGGGUAGCCGGCCUGAGAGGGUGGACGGUCACACUGGGACUGAGACACGGCCCAGACUCCUACGGGAGGCAGCAGUGGGGAAUAUUGCACAAUGGGCGCAAGCCUGAUGCAGCGACGCCGCGUGAGGGAUGGAGGCCUUCGGGUUGUGAACCUCUUUCGCCAGUGAAGCAGGCCUGCCUCGUUUGUGGGUGGGUUGACGGUAGCUGGAUAAGAAGCGCCGGCUAACUACGUG